ACCUGUUCGUGAUGAUUUAAAGGAAAAAAAAUGGGAAUCUCUCUGAAUAAGAGUGAAAGAGUAAUUCUAUCUGAUACAGUG